GUGAGUGUCAGGAGCGAGAGAGAGAGAGAGAGAGUACUCCAGUCUCUGGAAGAAGGAACAUCAACCGGUUUCCAUCUGAUUUAAUCUUAUUUAUUUGGGAAUACACACCUUUAUCGAUCAAUAAGGAUAGUUGCUUGCAGAGGGAACUUGCUGCAGCAUACUCUCUGCCGGAAACGAGGACUAACUUACUUUCUAUUUCUCAGGAUAUAAUGUUAUGAUCAUAUAUGAGCUGCUUUCAUUCAUAAGUCUUUUUGUGGCUCUUCGGAUGCGCGACAGAGGAUCAGGCACACGGUGUCCCUUCAGGAGAGAAACAGCUAAAACAGGAAGAGCUGCGACAGGAAUACAAAUUAUACUUUUGAAAGAAAACGGUCCGAAAAGACGAAGAAUGAGUCAAUGUCCCGGUGAAGAGCUUUAAAGAAGCGAAGAGGAUUCAGUGUGUUCUGUGCCAGACUGCUGUCAACUUCCUGAGUUUUCAAAGACAUACGGAAAAGUGUGAUCUGCGACUAUUAACGCAGGGAUGACAGUCAAGCUGGACUUUGAGGAGUGUUUGAAAGACUCCCCUCGCUUCAGAGCUGAAAUUGAAGUGGUCCAAAACGAUGUGAGUGAACUCGAGACACGAUUGGAAAAGCUUGUGAAACAAUGCCAGGCGAUGCUGGAGGCAGGCAGAGUCUACUGCCAGACCAGCAAGAGCUUCGUCAACGGCCUCCGUGAGCUUGGACAGCAGUGCUCCGGGGAGAAGACGAUGGAGGAGUGUUUGGACAAAUUUUCCAAAAAGCUGUCUAUCAUCUUGGACGCACAGGGGGAAGUGAUUGAGACCACACAGAAGACGGUCAAGACAAAGCUGCAGAACUUUGUCAAAGAGGAUGUUCGUCGCUUUAAGGAGGUACGCAAGGAGUUUGAGCGCGGCAGUGAAUGCCUGGAGGCGGCGCUGGUGAGGAACGUUCAGGCUCCACGGGGGAAACCUCAUGAAGUGGAGGAGGCUAGCAACGCUCUGCUGAAUGCACGCAGGACCUUUAGGUCUGAGGCCCUGGAUUACGUCUUGGAGAUUAACGUCAUUGAGGCCAAGAAGAAGACAGACAUCCUGAUGGCAAUGUUGUCACUGAUGGAGGCCCAGGCUCAGCUCUUCCAACAUGGGCACCAGUCUCUCUCAGAAAUGGACGAGUAUAGACGAAAACUCAAUGAAGAGCACACUCAGUUUGUCCUCAACUCAGCCCGGGAGAAGAGGGACAUGGAGCAAAGACAUGCAGCAAUCAAGAAAAAGGAUGUGUCUUAUGAUGACUCCAUCAUGGAUUUCAAACCCGACGCAGCUAAUGGGAUCGCCAUGGAGGGAUACCUCUAUAAAAGAGCCAGCAACGCCUUCAAGACCUGGAGCAGGCGUUGGUUUUCCAUUCAAAAAAAUCAGCUGGUGUAUCAGAAGAAAUUCAAGGAGCAGCCUACAGCUGUGGUGGAGGACCUGCGUCUUUGCACGGUCAAGCCCAGCUCUGAAAACGAGAGGCGGUUCUGCUUUGAAGUGGUCUCCCCGUCAAAGAGUUGUUUGUUGCAGGCAGACUCGGAAAGGCAGCAGCAGGCGUGGAUCAGUGCCGUUCAAAACAGCAUCGCAUCGGCCUUUCAGGAGCACAGGGAGGACACACACAGCCCAAGACAGCGCUGCAGCUCAGUGUCAGCCAGCAAUUUGAUAGGAGGUGGGGGAGGAGGGGAACAGGAGAAUAAGGUCUGUAAGGCGCUGGAGGAGAUCCAGGCGAUCCCAGGGAACAAGCAGUGCUGCGACUGCGGAGAGCCCGGUCCUGAUUGGGCCUCCAUCAACCUGGGCAUCACGCUCUGCAUCGUGUGCUCAGGAAUACACAGGAGCCUGGGAGUCCAUUUUUCCAAAGUACGCUCCCUCACACUGGACUCCUGGGAGCCAGAGCUUAUUAAGUUGAUGUGUGAAUUAGGAAACUCGGUAAUCAACAGGAUCUACGAAGCCCGGAUUGAUGAGAUCACCAUCAAGAAGCCCCACCCCACCAGUCCCAGAGGAGACAAGGAGUCAUGGAUCCGGUCAAAGUACGUCGAAAAGAAGUUCAUCCAAAAGCUGCCCGAGACCGGCAGGACCGCCCUACAGAGGAGGAAUCGAGCGCUCACACAGGAGAGGAACACACAGCGGCCGCCGCUCAAACCCAAGCCGAACCGAGCCACGCUGCCUCGACUCCCAGCAAUGAGCCCCACUGACGUUGUCCAGAAGAACAAUACCAACAAAGAUGUGGAGGAGGAAGAGGAGGAUCUGAGCGGGCUGCACCCCGGGGCGCUGCUGUACCGCUCGGCAGCUCUGCAGAACUUCCCCGUCAUGGCGGACGCUCUGGCCCACGGAGCCGACGUCAACUGGGUCAACAUGGCCGAGGAGUCCAGCACGCCUCUGAUACAGGCCGUCUCAGCGAAUGCCCUGGCAGCCUGUGAGUUCCUGCUGCAGAACGGUGCCAACGUCAACCAGGCAGACAGCAACGGGAGAGGACCGCUGCACCACGCCACCAUCCUGGGUCACACCGGGUUGGUUUGUCUCUUCUUGAAGCGAGGAGCAGACUACAACGCCCGAGACAAGAAACAGAAAGACCCCAUAUCUAUCGCCGUGGACACCGCCAACGCUGACAUCGUCACUUUGCUGCGGAUCGCCAAAAUGAACAAGGAGAUGCGGGAGAUGGACGGAGCGUUUGGCCAAUCAGGUCACUCGGGGGGGCAUGGGUCCGGGGGUUCUGUUGGCCGGACAGGAGGGGGGCGGGCUCACACUAGAAAAAGCCUACAGGCGAUUAAGAACCACAUAAGUGGCUGGGCUCUGGGGGGGCAAAAUGAUUAGCAGGGAUAGGAAUCUGCCCGGUAGAAGAGACAGGACGUGGGACUGACAUCAGCUGUUUCUGAUUGUUAGGCUAAAAGGAAAAACACAUGUUUUUGUCCAGUUAUUAAGCAUCACACAUCGCUGGCUCUGCAGGGUCAUAGGGUUUUUAUCUGCAGCAUCUGCAGAGAAAUGAUGACAUAUCAUUAAAGACCACAUGCAUCAGAUAAUAAAAUAAUUGCUUUCAUUUAGAAAGCAUAAAAUCAAGUUCUUGUGAACCAGAGCACAGGGUACGAUAACAGACGUGUCCUAUCCGUACAUACAGGAGAGUGUCUCGUAAAACAGAAAGGGACCCUGGGAGGGAUGGGAGUACACAUCGCACUUUGAAAUACAAACGCACAUCAUCCUGCACUUUGAAAAGCCCUCACAGUACCUGAGUGCUGCAUAAACAACUUAAGAAAUGUAUAGACCUAUUUUAUCUGAUACUGUAUAUUUUAGAUGUCUUUUAAAUACAAUAUGUACAGCGUUCUGGUUUGUAUUGUGUAUAUUUAAAUUGGGCUUUUUUUUAUCAGUCCAGUUGUAUAAGCUACAUUUAUUUUUGGGUUUCUGAAGGACGGUUUGAAUCUGCUAUUCUGUGAAUAGUGACGCAGUUUGUGUCUAUCAUACUUUGAGAGCUCUGUGCUGCAGCUCUCUCUGUAAGCUUGAGGUUAACGGCGGGUUUGUUUGCAUUUUGUCAUGUGGCUCCUUUUCAAGCUGCAAAGUCAUUCUUUCAUGUCCUUUUUAAGUGGCUUUUUUGUUUCUUGUGUAAGCUGUAAUCAAUCCACUCGUGAAGGAAUGAAAAACGUGAUGCUUUUUUUUCGUGUGCUUGAAAACAAACUGCUGGUCAGUAUCUGACGUGCUUUAUCACUGUGUGUCUUUGUUGUGUGCACUCUUCUGCCCGCUGAGAUGCCCAGCUGGUCUCAAGUGCUUGUGCAGUGUGCCAUCUACUGCAAACUAAGAGGUGAUGAAACCUACCAGGAUAUAUUCAGGGACUUCUCACACAUGGCAUCGAACAACCCCGAGAAGCUCAAACGCCGCAGUGCGGAUCCCAAAUCCUAACCUGCCUGAACCACAUUUCAGACGAUCAUGCUUUCAUACACACAGAAAACAUGUAUCAUAGUAACUCGCAGGCAUGCAGACACACACAUUUCUCCUGGCUACCUGCCACAUGCUUAGUCAUAGCUCAGCUGGUGUUGACUUCAGAGGGGAUGAAAGCUCCGAACAGUGAAAUCUUUGUGUGAUCACGUCAGAGCAGAACAAUGUGGGAACACUGGAGCAGCUUAAUGAGAGCAGCAUGAGGUGUCUUUAUGUGAAGCAGAGGGACACGCCAUCACUCUGCCAAGAUUUCUUAAUUAAAUCUGGCAAAUCUUUUCUUUUCUUUAACUAAAAGGGCUUUUUUUAUGUUCCUCUGCCAAUUCUAGAGCGUUUUUACGUGGAAAAAGUGAAAGUGUUUGUCGGAAAAAUGGUUGCAAAUUGUAUCAUUUUCAUGUCAACUGUCUUCCAGGGAGUUGUAAUGUAUACAGAUUUUUACAUUUGGGAUAUUUUUCAGCACCUUCACUUGAGGUACUUGACUUUUUCUACAAUGAUCAAAUAAACUGCAAUACAAACAUUA